GGUGGAGUCCAUGGAGGUUGACCUUACCCCUUCUCCAGUGAGAAGACCUCAGCCCGAGGUGGCAGCCGGCCCCACGCGGAUGUCUCUGAUUAGCCCACCUCAAGAUGGGCGCAUGGGUGAGUUCAGCACACGCUAAACUCUCUCCUCACCAAUGUGGUGGAUUGUUCUCCGGAGCGUCCUCUAGCCCGGGCGGGGGAGGGAGCUGCAUGGUUACUCUAGGGAUGCAGCUGGGGUCACAGGUCAUGGGAGGAAGCAAGCCGUGCAUUGUGCCCCCUGCCCCGGCUUUAACAAGGUGCUACCAGCUUGGCCGGGCCAUUUGCACAGGGAGUGCCCAGCGCCCACUGUCCCUGCUGCCUCUCCUGAAGCCCACAGCUUCCAGCUCUCCCCAGGUGGACGUGACAGGCCGCUGCCUCGGCCCAAGGCAGCGUCUCCUACCGGGGCCUUCAGCAUCUUGGCCUGACACCACAUCAGACACACCUGUCGAAGGCAUUCAGGAUCCCACCGUUGCAGAUCCCCCACAAGGGACCCACACAGACCCCAGCAGCCCAGGCAGCGGGCAGAGCAACGAGAGGAGGCUCCCCUGGCCUCGGUGGCUCCCAGGCGGCAGCGCCCAGGCCGCCCAUCAGCAUCUCCGGCCUGCUGCAUAGGCCGUGCCCAGGCAAGUGUCCAAGGCCCGGCGUGCGUCCAGUGUCUAUACUCGUCUAAGCUAACGGACUCCC
rnacentral:lncRNA from 1 species